AGAGUUUGAUCCUGGCUCAGAACGAACGCUGGCGGCAUGCCUAACACAUGCAAGUCGAACGAGACCUUCGGGUCUAGUGGCGCACGGGUGCGUAACGCGUGGGAAUCUACCCUUGGGUUCGGAAUAACAGCUAGAAAUGGCUGCUAAUACCGGAUGAUGUCUUCGGACCAAAGAUUUAUCGCCCAGGGGAUGAGCCCGCGUAGGAUUAGCUUGUUGGUGAGGUAAAAGCUCACCAAGGCGACGAUCCUUAGCUGGUCUGAGAGGAUGAUCAGCCACACUGGGACUGAGACACGGCCCAGACUCCUACGGGAGGCAGCAGUGGGGAAUAUUGGACAAUGGGCGAAAGCCCGAUCCAGCAAUGCCGCGUGAGUGAUGAAGGCCUUAGGGUUGUAAAGCUCUUUAUGCCAGGGAUGAUAAUGACAGUACCUGGAGAAUAAGCUCCGGCUAACUCCGUGCCAGCAGCCGCGGUAAUACGGAGGGAGCUAGC
rnacentral:rRNA from 1 species